UCUACAAGUAGGAAAUGCAUUAUUAGAUAAUAAUCUUAGAGGAAAAGAUAGGAUUAUAAUUAAUCCACCCCAAGAUUUUAGAAUAACAAAAAAUAAAGGAAAAAAGCAUGAAGAAAAACAAUAUAUGAUAACAGAUGUAGAAGAGAUAGAACAAAAAUUCUUAGAAUCUACAGGUGAAGAGUAUGAAGAAUAUAAAAAGCAGUUAGAAGAAUUAACUGAAAAAAUGGAGAAUAUAAAAAUGAAUACUAAUCCAUCUUCAAGUCAUGAUAUAAAAGUAGAAUUUAGUAGUGAUGAAGAACAAGAUUUCCCUUAUGGUACCCCUAUACCUGAUAAGGCUGAUGUUAAUCAAUAUAGAAAAACCCAGAAAAGAUACACUGGUAAUGUAAGAAAACAAUCUAUAAAAGAAAUAAAUCCAAUGAAAUCUUAUAAUGAAC
rnacentral:lncRNA from 1 species